AUGGUGAGUGAUUCACUCCCUCACACCCAAUGUCCCUCAGCAUUGGGCCAAGGCUGCCCAGCUGCCAACACCAGGAUACUGGGAGGUUCAUCAGCCAGGACUUGGCUUGGCUCUAAGGGCAUAUCCUUCUCUCCUCUUUCACUCCCCAUAACACACCCUCUUCUCAACAUCUUCUUUGUGCACAGAUAUCACUCCAACGUGCCUCCAGACCAAUUACAGAGACAUCAUGAUAGGGCUCGUGGUCAUCUCUCUCCUCCUUCUGGCUGCAACCACCUAUUCUUUUGUGAGGAAAGGGGCCUGCAGAGAGAGAUGCCAAAGGCAGCAGCAAGUUCCCAGCCACGA
rnacentral:lncRNA from 1 species